AACAAGGCGUACCUGCGGACCUGCGGAAGGAUCAUUACCGAGUUUACAACUCCCAAACCCCUGUGAACAUACCACUUGUUGCCUCGGCGGAUCAGCCCGCUCCCGGUAAAACGGGACGGCCCGCCAGAGGACCCCUAAACUCUGUUUCUAUAUGUAACUUCUGAGUAAAACCAUAAAUAAAUCGAAACUUUUAACAACGGAUCU
rnacentral:misc_RNA from 1 species